rnacentral:lncRNA from 1 species
CACCUGUCUCGUCCCCAGUGGCUUUUCCAGAACUACUGCCUUCACCAUGAAGCUCCAUGAGCUUUCCCAAAUUUAUUGACCACUUCUUUCAAGUCAUUUGUCUGCACCUCUCGGAUCAUGAUUUCCAUCAUCUUCUUCCGGAUUUGGCGGACCUGUUGGUGCUGAGCACGGGUAAGAUCCAUGCCAUGGAAGUUAGUCAGGCAGUUUUUACCCUGAACAUCUUCAGUAAUCAGCUUGAAUU